rnacentral:snoRNA from 1 species
GUGUAAAUGAUGUAAUUUAACUACUUCUGAAUUUUAUUGAUGUGAAUUUUAUUGAUGUCUUAAAAUUCGAGCUUUUUAAAACUGAUGCACA